rnacentral:rRNA from 1 species
GUGCCGCAGCUAACGCAAUAAGUUCUCCGCCUGGGGAGUACGAUCGCAAGAUUGAAACUCAAAGGAAUUGACGGGGGCCCGCACAAGCAGCGGAGCAUGUGGUUUAAUUCGAAGCAACGCGAAGAACCUUACCAGGUCUUGACAUCCCUAUGACCGGUGCAGAGAUGCAUCUUUCUCUUCGGAGACAUAGGUGACAGGUGGUGCAUGGUUGUCGUCAGCUCGUGUCGUGAGAUGUUGGGUUAAGUCCCGCAACGAGCGCAACCCUUGUCUUUAGUUGCCAUCAUUAAGUUGGGCACUCUAAAGAGACUGCCGGGGAUAACUCGGAGGAAGGUGGGGAUGACGUCAAAUCAUCAUGCCCCUUAUGAUCUGGGCUACACACGUGCUACAAUGGAUGGUACAGAGGGCUGCGAAACCGUGAGGUGAAGCUAAUCCCAGAAAGCCAUUCUCAGUUCGGAUUGCAGGCUGCAACUCGCCUGCAUGAAGCUGGAGUUGCUAGUAAUCGCGGAUCAGAAUGCCGCGGUGAAUGCGUUCCCGGGCCUUGUACACACCGCCCGUCACACCAUGGGAGUUGAUAAUACCCAAAGUCGUUGAGCUAACCCGUAAGGGAGGCAGGCGCCUAAGGUAGGAUUGAUGACUGGGGUGAAGUCGUAACAAGGUAACCA